rnacentral:rRNA from 1 species
ACGGGAGGCAGCAGUGGGGAAUAUUGGACAAUGGGCGAAAGCCUGAUCCAGCGACGCCGCGUGAGUGAAGAAGUAUUUCGGUAUGUAAAGCUCUAUCAGCAGGGAAGAUAAUGACGGUACCUGACUAAGAAGCCCCGGCUAACUACGUGCCAGCAGCCGCGGUAAUACGUAGGGGGCAAGCGUUAUCCGGAUUUACUGGGUGUAAAGGGAGCGUAGACGGCAGUGCAAGUCUGAAGUGAAAGCUCGCGGCUUAACCGCGGAACUGCUUUGGAAACUGUACAGCUAGAGUACCGGAGGGGUAAGCGGAAUUCCUAGUGUAGCGGUGAAAUGCGUAGAUAUUAGGAAGAACACCGGUGGCGAAGGCGGCUUACUGGACGGUAACUGACGUUGAGGCUCGAAAGCGUGGGGAGCAAACAGGAUUAGAUACCCUGGUA